UACAGAGGUCUCAAGCGUUGUUCGGAUUCAUUGGGCGUAAAGGGUGCAUAGGCGGCGCGGUAAGUCGGGUGUGAAAUCUCGGAGCUUAACUCCGAAACUGCAUUCGAUACUGCCGUGCUUGAGGACUGGAGAGGAGACUGGAAUUUACGGUGUAGCGGUGAAAUGCGUAGAUAUCAGGAGGAACACCGGUGGCGAAGGCGGGACUCUGGGCCGAUACUGACGCUGAGGAGCGAAAGCGUGGGGAGCAAACAGG
rnacentral:rRNA from 1 species